UAAUAAGUGUUUUUAUGGCACUUUUUUAAAUCCAUAUCCACCUUGUGUGCAAUGUCAGUCGAUCUUCUUCAUGGAGAUCGACCAAACAUCAACCUUUAUCUUUUAACUCUUUGUCUGAAAAAUAUUAUGAAUAAACAAUUCAAAAUA
rnacentral:misc_RNA from 1 species